rnacentral:rRNA from 1 species
GUAGGGGGCAAGCGUUGUCCGGAAUCAUUGGGCGUAAAGCGCGUGUAGGCGGUUCGAUAAGUCUGCUGUGAAAGUCCAGGGCUCAACCCUGGGAUGCCGGUGGAUACUGUCGGGCUAGAGUGCGGAAGAGGCGAGUGGAAUUCCUGGUGUAGCGGUGAAAUGCGCAGAUAUCAGGAGGAACACCAAUUGCGAAGGCAGCUCGCUGGGACGUUACUGACGCUGAGACGCGAAAGCGUGGGGAGCAAACAGGAUUAGAUACCCUGGUAGUCCACGCCGUAAACGAUGGGCACUAGGUGUGGGGGGUGUCGACUCCCUCCGUGCCGAAGCUAACGCAUUAAGUGCCCCGCCUGGGGAGUACGGCCGCAAGGCUAAA